rnacentral:lncRNA from 1 species
AUUCGAGCUUCGCAAAAUGGAACUUUACGAAAAUAGAUUGCAGUUUUUAACAUGAUGGCACAUUGGGAUCAACAAACGAACAUGUUAAUGAUAAUAUACAUGGCAACCAAAGGAAUGGCAUCAAAGUAGACAUAUCCUAGAGCAGUUCUCACCAAGGAAUCAUAUGCAUAAGACCUAUGGACAAUGUGCAAUCAUCCACGCAAUAUUGAACAAAAUAAGAGUUUAGACAUAUUCAC